GAUGAAGAACGCAGCGAAAUGCGAUAAGUAAUGUGAAUUGCAGAAUUCAGUGAAUCAUCGAAUCUUUGAACGCACCUUGCGCCCUUUGGACAUUCCGAAGGGCAUGCCUGUUUGAGUAUCAUGAACACCUCAACUCUCACGGCUUGUCCGUGAUGAGCUUGGACUUUGGGGGUCUUGCCGGCCUGUGGUCGGCUCCUCUCAAAUGGAUCAGCUUGCCAGUGUUUGGUGGCAUCACAGGUGUGAUAACUAUCUGCGCUUGUGGUUUUCCAUCAGAUAACCUUCAGUGAUAUGGAGGUUCGCUGGAGCUCACAAAUGUCUCUCCUUAGUGAGGACAGCUCUUUGAACGUUUGAUCUCAAUUCAGGUAGGACUACCCGCUGAACUUAAGCAUAUCAAUAAGCGGAGGA
rnacentral:misc_RNA from 1 species